rnacentral:rRNA from 1 species
UACGUAGGUGGCAAGCGUUGUUCGGAAUUAUUGGGCGUAAAGGGCGCGUAGGCGGUUUGUUAAGUCGGUUGUGAAAGCCCGGGGCUCAACCCCGGAGAGUCGACCGAUACUGGCAAACUAGAGUACGGAAGAGGUAGCUGGAAUUCCCGGUGUAGCGGUGAAAUGCGUAGAUAUCGGGAGGAACCCCUGAGGCGAAGGCGGGCUACUGGGCUGAUACUGACGCUGAGGCGCGAAAGCUAGGGGAGCAAACAGG